rnacentral:rRNA from 1 species
AGUUUGAUCCUGGCUCAGGAUGAACGCUAGCUACAGGCUUAACACAUGCAAGUCGAGGGGCAGCGGGAUUGAAGCUUGCUUCAAUUGCCGGCGACCGGCGCACGGGUGAGUAACGCGUAUCCAACCUUCCGUACACUCAGGGAUAGCCUUUCGAAAGAAAGAUUAAUACCUGAUGGUAUGAUGAGAUUGCAUGAUAGCAUCAUUAAAGAUUUAUCGGUGUACGAUGGGGAUGCGUUCCAUUAGGUAGUAGGCGGGGUAACGGCCCACCUAGCCAACGAUGGAUAGGGGUUCUGAGAGGAAGGUCCCCCACAUUGGAACUGAGACACGGUCCAAACUCCUACGGGAGGCAGCAGUGAGGAAUAUUGGUCAAUGGACGAGAGUCUGAACCAGCCAAGUAGCGUGAAGGAUGAAGGUCCUACGGAUUGUAAACUUCUUUUAUAAGGGAAUAAACCCUCCCACGUGUGGGAGCUUGUAUGUACCUUAUGAAUAAGCAUCGGCUAACUCCGUGCCAGCAGCCGCGGUAAUACGGAGGAUGCGAGCGUUAUCCGGAUUUAUUGGGUUUAAAGGGAGCGCAGACGGGUCGUUAAGUCAGCUGUGAAAGUUUGGGGCUCAACCUUAAAAUUGCAGUUGAUACUGGCGUCCUUGAGUGCGGUUGAGGUGUGCGGAAUUCGUGGUGUAGCGGUGAAAUGCUUAGAUAUCACGAAGAACUCCGAUUGCGAAGGCAGCACACUAAUCCGUAACUGACGUUCAUGCUCGAAAGUGUGGGUAUCAAACAGGAUUAGAUACCCUGGUAGUCCACACGGUAAACGAUGGAUACUCGCUGUUGGCGAUAUACUGUCAGCGGCUUAGCGAAAGCGUUAAGUAUCCCACCUGGGGAGUACGCCGGCAACGGUGAAACUCAAAGGAA